UGGGGAAUCUUGCACAAUGGGCGAAAGCCUGAUGCAGCAACGCCGCGUGCGGGAAGACAGCCCUAGGGUUGUAAACCGCUUUCAGCAGGGAAGAAACUGACGGUACCUGCAGAAGAAGAUGCGGCCAACUACGUGCCAGCAGCCGCGGUGACACGUAGGCAUCAAGCGUUAUCCGGAUUUAUUGGGCGUAAAGAGCUCGUAGGCGGUUCGGUAAGUCGGGUGUGAAAACUCUGGGCUCAACCCAGAGAGGCCACUCGAUACUGCUGUGACUAGAGUGCGGUAGGGGAGCGGGGAAUUCCUGGUGUAGCGGUGAAAUGCGCAGAUAUCAGGAGGAACACCAGUGGCGAAGGCGCUGCUCUGGGCUGUAACUGACGCUGAGGAGCGAAAGCAUGGGUAGCAAACAGGAUUAGAUACCCUGGUAGUCCACGCCGUAAACGGUGGGCGCUAGGUGUGGGGAUCGUUUCCACGAUCUCCGUGCCGUAGCUAACGCAUUAAGCGCCCGCCUGGGAGUACGGCCGCAA
rnacentral:rRNA from 1 species